rnacentral:rRNA from 1 species
ACGCUCGACACCUACGGGAGACAGCAGUGGGGAAUAUUGGGCAAUGGGCGCAAGCCUGACCCAGCAACGCCGCGUGAAGGAAGAAGGCCCUCGGGUUGUAAACUUCUUUUGACAGGGACGAAACAAAUGACGGUACCUGUCGAAUAAGCCACGGCUAACUACGUGUCAGCAGCCGCGGUAAUCUGAGCGGGCUGGCAAGGC